GACGAACGCUGGCGGCGUGCCUAAUACAUGCAAGUUGAACGAACUCUGGUAUUGAUUGGUGCUUGCAUCAUGAUUUACAUUUGAGUGAGUGACGAACUGGUGAGUAACACGUGGGAAACCUGCCCAGAAGCGGGGGAUAACACCUGGAAACAGAUGCUAAUACCGCAUAACAACUUGGACCGCAUGGUCCGAGUUUGAAAGAUGGCUUCGGCUGUC
rnacentral:rRNA from 1 species